rnacentral:tRNA from 1 species
GGGCCCGUAGCCUAGUCUGGAUAGGGCACCAGCCUUCUAAGCUGGGGGUCGUGGGUUCAAAUCCCACCGGGCCCG